rnacentral:rRNA from 1 species
GAUGAACGCUGACAGAAUGCUUAACACAUGCAAGUCAACUUGAAUUUGGGUUUUUAACUUCGGUUUGGGUGGCGGACGGGUGAGUAACGCGUAAAGAACUUGCCUCACAGCUAGGGACAACAUUUGGAAACGAAUGCUAAUACCUAAUAUUAUGAUAAUAGGGCAUCCUAUAAUUAUGAAAGCUAUAAGCGCUGUGAGAGAGCUUUGCGUCCCAUUAGCUAGUUGGAGAGGUAACGGCUCACCAAGGCGAUGAUGGGUAGCCGGCCUGAGAGGGUGAUCGGCCAAAAGGGGACUGAGACACGGCCCUUACUCCUACGGGAGGCAGCAGUGGGGAAUAUUGGACAAUGGACCGAGAGUCUGAUCCAGCAAUUCUGUGUGCACGAUGAAGUUUUUCGGAAUGUAAAGUGCUUUCAGUUGGGAAGAAACAAAUGACGGUACCAACAGAAGAAGUGACGGCUAAAUACGUG